rnacentral:tRNA from 1 species
UCUGUCAUCCCAGUUGGGAAAGCGUUAGACUAUAGAUCGAAAGAUCCCUGGUUCGAUCCCGGGAUUUGGCACAG